rnacentral:rRNA from 1 species
AGAGUUUGAUCCUGGCUCAGGAUGAACGCUGGCGGCGUGCCUAAUACAUGCAAGUCGAACGCUUCACUUCGGUGAAGAGUGGCGAACGGGUGAGUAAUACAUAAGUAACCUGGCAUCUACAGGGGGAUAACUGAUGGAAACGUCAGCUAAGACCGCAUAGGUGUAGAGAUCGCAUGAACUCUAUAUGAAAAGUGCUACGGGACUGGUAGAUGAUGGACUUAUGGCGCAUUAGCUGGUUGGUAGGGUAACGGCCUACCAAGGCGACGAUGCGUAGCCGACCUGAGAGGGUGACCGGCCACACUGGGACUGAGACACGGCCCAGACUCCUACGGGAGGCAGCAGUAGGGAAUCUUCGGCAAUGGGGGCAACCCUGACCGAGCAACGCCGCGUGAGUGAAGAAGGUUUUCGGAUCGUAAAGCUCUGUUGUAAGUCAAGAACGAGUGUGAGAGUGGAAAGUUCACACUGUGACGGUAGCUUACCAGAAAGGGACGGCUAACUACGUGCCAGCAGCCGCGGUAAUACGUAGGUCCCGAGCGUUGUCCGGAUUUAUUGGGCGUAAAGCGAGCGCAGGCGGUUUGAUAAGUCUGAAGUUAAAGGCUGUGGCUUAACCAUAGUACGCUUUGGAAACUGUUUAACUUGAGUGCAGAAGGGGAGAGUGGAAUUCCAUGUGUAGCGGUGAAAUGCGUAGAUAUAUGGAGGAACACCGGUGGCGAAAGCGGCUCUCUGGUCUGUAACUGACGCUGAGGCUCGAAAGCGUGGGGAGCGAACAGGAUUAGAUACCCUGGUAGUCCACGCCGUAAACGAUGAGUGCUAGGUGUUGGGUCCUUUCCGGGACUCAGUGCCGCAGCUAACGCAUUAAGCACUCCGCCUGGGGAGUACGA